rnacentral:tRNA from 1 species
GCGGGGAUCGCAUAGCCCGGUAUUGCGGCGGCCUGCUAAGCCGCUGGCCACUCGGCCACGCGUGUUCGAAUCACGCUCCCCGCG